GGGUAGGGGAGGCAGCGACGUCUCGUCAGCCAAAUGGGUUCGAUUCCAUUGACUGAUUCUAUCUGAAUGGUCAUUAAUGUGAUUUAUUUGGCUGUUUCAGAUUCUUCACUCCCAAAUUUGUCACCAACCCUCUUGGUAUUGACUGGAAGAGAACAGUCCUAGUACAGAAUGGAGUGGGAACAGGGCUCUCUAGCUCGGCUCCUCACCUUCCCCUCCCCCCGCCCGUUCUUUACUCUCAGAGCGACUGGACUGGAAAGCGCAGGAAAACAGAGGAAGGGGCCGUGCCUAACCCCCAGCCUUUCCACCCAGCUCUUACUUUAGAAGACAAGUUCUCUCCUCCCUCAACCCCAGCCGUGCCCUGGCCACCCCAGGGGAAGCCAACGCUGAACUUUCCUGACAGCAGCGGACACUUACAGAGGCCACUGUGGAACAGAGUUCAUUUCCAACAUCCUGGCAUUAGAGACUCAGGAUACCAAGCUCCCAGCUGCUGCUCCAGUGCCCUGCCUGGUGCCCUGCUCCCUGCCAUGUUUGUUGAUGGACUCCUAUCCCUCUUAAACUCUAAGCCCCGAAUAAAUCCUUCUGUUAAGAAAACAUAACCACCCCAGGACACCCUCUGCCCCAGGUCCCCUGUCAGUGCUCCAGCUGCCUCCAGCCCUUGACCGUGCAGCCCCCAUGAGAUCCAGUUGCCUGUGGACACGGCCCUUGUCAUGGCCAACACACUAACUAGAUUGGAAACCACGGGAGCAGCAGCUCAGCCACUGUGCACCCCAUGGUAUCCCCAGCUCUAGGUCCUAUUCUUGCCCCACUGAACCUGACUCAAGGCUCUCAGCUCACCCUGUCUUCUCCCAGGAAGUCACCAGAACCAAUUCCGGCUAAACCAAGGGGUGUGGUGCUAGGAUUAAAGGCGUGCGCCACCGCGAUCACCUGACUGCAAGCGACUGUUCUUUUCCUGUGUGCUCUUGAGAGCUUCUGGACCACAUUGCCCAUUAUGGGGCCUGAAGGCUGUGGAACAUCGUGCAGUAAGUACAUCCUGUCACCAGCAGGGGGCAGACAGAGCCCUUGGCACUGGAUGGGGCAUCUCAAUAUAAUACCUCUAUAGAUAGACUCCUCUGUCCCUGGGAGGUGCUUAAAGAGCCAGAAAACCUUCUAUAGGAGCCACCCCACGCCCACCCCCCCCCCCAGGUCGGGGCUCAUGUGCCUUCCUGAUUUGCCCCCCUGCACCCUUUUCCACUUAAGGUCUGGCCCUGUUGUGUAACAAAAUUUCCUGGGGAGACAUUCCACAUGUCUAUUCACCCAUCCCCCCGACCCCCA
rnacentral:lncRNA from 1 species